UUGGCCUACGGGACGCAGCAGUGGGGGAUAUUGCACAAUGGGGGAAACCCUGAUGCAGCGACGCCGCGUGGGCGAAGAAGUAUUUCGGUAUGUAAAGCCCUAUCAGCAGGGAAGAAGAAAUGACGGUACCUGAGUAAGAAGCACCGGCUAAAUACGUGCCAGCAGCCGCGGUAAUACGUAUGGUGCAAGCGUUAUCCGGAUUUACUGGGUGUAAAGGGAGCGCAGGCAGCACGGCAAGCCUGAUGUGAAAGCCCGCGGCCCAACCGCGGAACUGCAUUCGAAACUGUCAGUCUUGAGUACCGGAG
rnacentral:rRNA from 1 species